AUACGUAGGGGGCGAGCGUUGUCCGGAAUGACUGGGCGUAAAGGGCGCGUAGGCGGCCCGGUAAGUCUGGAGUGAAAGUCCUGUUUUUAAGAUGGGAAUUGCUUUGGAUACUGUCGGGCUUGAGUGCAGGAGAGGUAAGUGGAAUUCCCAGUUUAGCGGUGAAAUGCGUAGAGAUUGGGAGGAACACCAGUGGCGAAGGCGACUUACAGGACUGUAACUGACGGUGAGGCGCGAAAGUGUGGGGAGCAAACAGGAUUAGAUACCCUGGUAGUCCACACUGUAAACGAUGAAUGCUAGGUGUAGGGGGUAUCGACCCCUUCUGUGCCGCAGUCAACACAAUAAGCAUUCCGCCUGGGGAGUACGGCCGCAAGGUUGAAACUCAAAUGAAUUGACGGGU
rnacentral:rRNA from 1 species